UACGUAGGGUGCGAGCGUUAAUCGGAAUUACUGGGCGUAAAGCGUGCGUAGGCGGCGCACUAAGACAGCUGUGAAAGCCCCGGGCUUAACCUGGGAACGGCGGUUGUGACUGGUGGGCUGGAGUUCGGCAGAGGGGGGUGGAAUUCCUGGUGUAGCAGUGAAAUGCGUAGAUAUCAGGAGGAACACCGAUGGCGAAGGCAGCCCCCUGGGCCGCAACUGACGCUCAGGCACGAAAGCGUGGGGAGCAAACAGG
rnacentral:rRNA from 1 species